rnacentral:rRNA from 1 species
AACGAACGCUGGCGGCGUGCCUAACACAUGCAAGUCGAACGAGAAAGGGGCUUCGGCUCCGAGUAAAGUGGCGCACGGGUGAGUAACACGUGGGUAACCUGCCUCUAAGAUUGGGAUAACUCGUCGAAAGAUGAGCUAAUACCGAAUAAGACCACAGUUCCCGCGGGAACAGGGGUCAAAGGUAGCCUCUGCUUGCAAGCUAUCACUUAGAGAUGGGCCUGCGCACCAUUAGCUAGUUGGUAGGGUAACGGCCUACCAAGGCAAAGAUGGUUAGCUGGUCUGAGAGGAUGAUCAGCCACACUGGAACUGAGACACGGUCCAGACUCCUACGGGAGGCAGCAGUGGGGAAUAUUGCGCAAUGGGCGAAAGCUUGACGCAGCAACGCCGCGUGAGUGAUGAAGGCCUUCGGGUCGUAAAGCUCUGUCGGGAGGAACGAAUGCUCCUGAGGUUAACAGCCUCGGGAGGCGACGGUACCUUCAAAGGAAGCACCGGCUAACUCUGUG